UACGAAGGGUGCAAGCGUUGCUCGGAAUCACUGGGCGUAAAGGGUGCGUAGGCGGGUCUUUAAGUCAGGGGUGAAAUCCUGGAGCUCAACUCCAGAACUGCCUUUGAUACUGAAGAUCUUGAGUUCGGGAGAGGUGAGUGGAACUGCGAGUGUAGAGGUGAAAUUCGUAGAUAUUCGCAAGAACACCAGUGGUGAAGGCGGCUCACUGGCCCGAUACUGACGCUGAGGCACGAAAGCUAGGGGAGCGAACGGG
rnacentral:rRNA from 1 species